CCUACGGGGCGCAGCAGUGGGGAAUAUUGGACAAUGGGCGAAAGCCUGAUCCAGCCAUGCCGCGUGUGUGAAGAAGGCCUUCGGGUUGUAAAGCACUUUCAGUGGGGAAGAAAGCCUUGGGGCUAAUACCCUCGAGGAAGGACAUCACCCACAGAAGAAGCACCGGCUAACUCCGUGCCAGCAGCCGCGGUAAUACGGAGGGUGCGAGCGUUAAUCGGAAUUACUGGGCGUAAAGCGCGCGUAGGCGGUCUGAUAAGCCGGUUGUGAAAGCCCCGGGCUCAACCUGGGAACGGCAUCCGGGCGGUCGGGGGAGGGGGCGGGAGAGGAGGGUAAAAUCCCGGGGGUAGCGGUGAAAUGCGUAGAGACCGGGAGGAAGAGGGGGGACGAAGGCGGCCUUCUGGAGUAACACUGACGCUGUGGUGCAAAAGCGUGGCUAGCAAACGGGACUAGAUACCCGAAAGUC
rnacentral:rRNA from 1 species